UUGAACAUGACUCCUAUUUAUUUAUUUAAUCAAAUUAUUAUUUUUAAAAAAAAAAGAUAGAAAAUAUUAUCAGAAAAGAAAGAAAAUGGAUCCUUUUCGUAUACUCUAGUAGCAGUGACAUCAACCACUAUGCAUUGUGGGAAGACCUAAUCGGAAAUUUUAUAUGAAUUAUCACUCUUCUAAAUGAAGCAAAGAUUUUGACAUCUCAACCAUUUCUGAUUUCUUGAUAUUAUCUCCUCCAUAUUUUCCCCACUUGCUUCUGCCUCUUCUCUAUUUCUAUUAAAUCUAAAUCUACCUGCCUUAAUUUUCUUGGAUCUUCUCAUCCAUCUCCAUUUUGGAUAUGUUCAUUCCAAGCUUCAUUGCAAAUCAUCAAUGUUCAUGCACUGGUAAGUUCAUACAGAAAGAGAGAUGUUGGAAUGGCUCAAUCAAAUCAAAUCUCUCAAGGGUUCUUGGGUCCUUUAAUCUGAUUGAGCCGUGCCAAUAUCCCUCUUAUUUAUUCAACAAUUUUUUUAUUCUUUCCCAACAAUCAGCUUUCCUGUUAAUUAUAACUAUGGAUUAUUUUUUAGGGUUUAGCAAUUUUAUAUAAGGGUUCACUGUGACAUAAAUUUUGUAAUAUUUCAGAUUUUAAUUACUAGAAUUGGCAUUCAGUUAAGGUUUUUUAUCUGCUAGUUAAUGCAAUACUCCUUACCUUUGGUUUGGGAAAGAGUGCAGAUUGUUAAAUAAAACAAGUGCAUAUUGAUGUAGAAGAAGCGGAUUGCGUAGUUCAUUGAUAGAGGUAAUGAUGACUCGAUAGAGUUGGAUGAUUUGUUUCUCUAAAUGGAAUUUGACUUAGCAAUCUGUCGAUGCAUAAUAUUUUGCCCAGUGGAACGGCAAGGGGAAAUUAGUUCUGAGUAUGUUCCGAAUAUGAGACUAUUCAGUUUUAGAGACGACUAAAAUGACAAUGUAAAAAAAAGAAAACAUUGGUUUGAAUAUCUUUUCCGUUGAGUUUUGCUAACCUCUGUAGGUAACCCUUACAAUGCAUGCAUGCGAGUAUUUGCAUGAGAAAUAAAGAGUUAUAAGAAAACCAUGCUGGCAAUUAAUUUUGGAGAGUUGCAGGAAUCUUCAUGUAGGCUGAAAUUAUAUGAUCAUUACUUGUAUAUAUCCUUUGUACAUUUAUAUAUAAUAAUGUUAUUUUAAUAAAUUUCUGAAUAAUAGAUCUCAUUAGAUAAAAUUUUAAGUGUUUUAUAAUUUAUUUUUUGUAUAUUAAAUUAUUAUUAUUUUAAAGUUUAGAUCCGGAUCUGGUAUGUGAAUUGCAGCAUUAGAGGCGGAGGAAGAAGAAGAAGAAGUGAAAGGCUUGUAAAGAAGCUACAUGAUGUAAAAUAGAAAAAGAGUAAUCAAGUUUAUAUUAAUUAAUGGUAAUAUCAAAUCCGAACAAAAUGAAAAAUUCGGAAGUCUCACGAACAGUAGAGCGCCAAGAGUAGAGAUGAGUAGAGAUGAGAGAUGGUAGAACAAAACAUCAAAUAUGCAGCCUUGAAGACUUCCUACUCAAACAUAUAUAUGACGACCUAACCUCCCACAAAAGAAGUAUAAAUGCAAUACACUAUAUAUACCAUCUCUUACUUGUAAAUAUUUUUUGCAGGAACAAAACUCAUUGAGAUCCCUUCUUUUUCUCCAUAUCCAGGUGGAGUAUGUACAUUUGGGUUUGCUUUGCUUUUAUUUUGUUAUCUUUUAAGCUCAUGAACCAGGCCUUUCACCCCCACUAUUGCUUGUGCUCGGGAGGUGCUAUUCUCAUUUUCGACAUGCUUAUUUCUACACUACACCCAGUUUACUAAAAGGCUUUUUGCAAAUUUAGAGGCUGAAGAAGUUUUAUUUGUGGAUUUGGGGUUCGAAAAAUAUUAAUUGCCAAUUUGGGGCGUGGCAGGCGAAAGAGCGCCUAGCGCCUUUUUGAAAGGCGCCAGAUGAAGUCUUGGCGCCUAUCAAAGAGGCGUCAAGCGUGGCCUGAUGCUUCGCAGACAGGCUGACGCUUCUUAAAGAGGCGUCAGCCUCACCCUGGCCUCUCGGGAAGCCUGGCAUCUCGAAAAAACACAUCGCCCUAGCGCCUCUAAAAGAGGCGCCAACCCACCUUCACCCUAUAAAUGCCCCACCUAUGCUCGUUUUCAUCUAUGCUUUUACUUAUUUCUUUCUUGUUGAAUUUUUUUUAACUUCUUUAUCCUCUUCCUCUUUCUGUUUUAAUUGAUUUAUGACUUAUAUUUAUAUUGUUCCAAAAAAUUUACGAGGUAAAUUUGCUAAAAAUAGAGUGAAAACAAUGUGGAGAGAAAUAUAUAAAUUAAGAAUAGAUUCUCGGAGCAAUUUUUUUUAACAUAUUUUAUAGCUUAAUUAUUAUUUGCAAGAAAUAAUUUGUUCUAGUUAUAACAUGCGGAAUAUAGAAAUGGUUGAUGUUUUGAUUGAAACUGUUCCGUUGUGUUAUUUUAAGAUUUUAAGUUUUAUUUACUCAAAAAGAAUUCUGUAAAAGAGAGAAUAGAAUAUUAAGAGGUACGUAUUUAGUUAAACUUAAUAUUUAAUUUUGAUGUAUAUUUUAAUCAAUAUACUUACUGACUUAUUAAUUUCAGGAGGAGGUGAACGUACCAGUUAUCAAACGAAUAUGUAUGAUUAUUUGGAACAAAGAAGGGAAAGAACAUUUAAAUCCGCAAAACGUUAAAGCGAAUGGCGCAAAUUCAGAAAAUGUAAAAAUAAAUAGAUAUAUUAAAAUCUAUGUAAUUAGUUAGUAUUUUAAAUUUGUAAUAUCGUUUUUUUUAUAAAUGUCUAUUUUGUUGUG